GGCUAGUUAGCUCAGUUGGUUAGAGGGUGGUGCUAAUAACGUCAAGGUUUCUGGUUCGAUCCCCGUAUGGGGCA
rnacentral:tRNA from 1 species